GCGGCCACGCCUUUUCCCCGCAGAGAAGGCGCGGCGUCGGGAGGGAAAUCUCUGUCUUUACUGUGGCGGAAGUGGACACUUCGCUCGGUCCUGCCCUGAGAAACGCCAGCCGCAGGGAAACCGCCAACCCCAGUAGCUGAUGGCCCUAGCUGCCGGGGGUCCCAAACCGUACAGAAUGGGCCCGCACCAAUGGACUUGCAACAUCUUAUGGUUUCAGUACGUUUAUACCCUCCAGGUGGGCCCUGGAUCCUCACCCAUGCUUUGGUAGAUUCAGGGGCAACCCGCUCCUAUAUGGACGCUGCUUUUGCCGCCCAUCAUCAGGUGCCACUUGGAACAAGCCAGUACCGGUCCAGGUGGAAGCGAUUGACGGACGACUUCUGCGUUCAGGUGCCGUUACUCAGGAGACCCAGCCCUUGGUCCUGUGUCUCCAGCAGCACCGGGAGUUGCGGACUUUGGACAUUGCCUCUAUGCCCCGCUUCCCCCUGGUGCUCGGGAUGGACUGGCUGGAAGCCCACAACGUUCAGAUUGACUGGGUCAAACGGACCGUGCACUUCCCAGACCCAUGUUCCCAUGCUCAAUCCGGAACGCUGGCGGCCGCGCCCUCAGAGGAGGCAGCACCCACGCUCCCAGCCGUGUACCAGGACUACCAGGACGUGUUCGAGGAACGGGGGGCAGACCAGCUGCCGCCACAUCGGCCUUUUGACUGCGGCAUAGACCUCCAACCCGGAGCGCCUUUACCAGUGAGUCGCUUAUAUUCCCUAACAGAGCCAGAGCGCGAGGCUUUGCAGGACUUCUUGCGCAAGAACCUGGAGCGUGGGUUCAUUAGGCCUUCCACCUCGCCUACCGCGGCACCAGUGCUUUUCGUUAAGAAGAAAUGUGGGGAACUCCGCCCUUGCCAUGAUUACCGAGCCCUGAACAAAAUUACCGUCCCAGACCGGUACCCCUUGCCCCUUAUCUCGGAACUGCUGGAGCGGGUGCAAGGGGCACAGGUGUUCACCAAGCUGGACCUCCGGGGGGCCUACAACUUGAUUCGGAUCCGAGCCGGGGAUGAGUGGAAGACAGCGUUUGGGACCCGGUACGGGCAGUUCGAAUAUUUGGUUAUGCCUUUCGGUUUGUGCAACGCGCCUGCUGUGUUUCAACGCUACAUCAACCACGUGUUUCAGGACUUGUUAGACAAGUACGUGGUGGUGUAUUUGGAUGACAUACUGAUUUACUCCCGUGACCCGGCUUGCCAUGAGGGACAUGUCCGGACCGUGCUGCAGCGCUUGCGUGAGCACCGUUUGUACGCAAAGCUCAGCAAGUGCGAGUUCCAUCAGCGGACUGUGGACUUCCUUGGUCACCGGCUCUCUCCAGAUGGGGUGCAAAUGGACCCGGGGAAGGUGACAGCGGUUCAAGAAUGGGCGGCACCCCGGAACCGCAAGGACCUGCAGCGUUUCCUGGGGUUCGCCAAUUACUACCGGACCUUCAUCGCUGAUUAUGCUCAUCGCACCACCCCGUUGACCCGGCUACUGCGCCCAAAGACGCCGUUUUCCUGGGACAAGGAGGCAGAGGAGGCGUUUCAGGGGUUGAAGGCCUGUUUCCAGAGGGCACCAAUCUUACAACAUCCUGACCCCUCUCGACCCUUUGUGGUGGAGACCGACGCUUCCAGUACGGCUCUCGGUGCCGUCUUGUCUCAACAGAUUGGUCCUGAAGCGCCACUCUUACCCUGUGCCUUCUAUUCUCGCCAGCUCCUACCAGCGGAGCGUAACUAUACUGUGUGGGAGCGGGAACUACUGGCCAUCAAGGUAGCCUUUGAGGUCUGGCGCCACCAUCUUGAGGGGGCACGACAUCCGGUGGAGGUGAGAACCGACCACCGGAACCUGGAGUACCUCCAGACCACCCGCAAGCUGAACCAAAGACAGAUCCGGUGGGCGUUGUUCUUUUCCCGGUUCCAGUUCCGGAUCCGCUACAUCCCUAGCUCUCAGAAUCAGAAGGCGGAUGCCCUGUCCCGGAAACCCGAAGACAACGCAGACACGGUACAGCAAGCAGAACCCACCACGAUCCUACCUCCGGCUGCAUUCCUGGCCACCCAGGAGGCGCAGCCACUGCAGGUUCGGGUGCGGGAACAGCAGCGGGUCGACGCUUGGGCCCAGGAACGACUCCGGGAGCUGGCUGAAGGGUCCAGCCCACAGUAUCCGGGGCUGGUCCUGCAUCAGGGCCUUCUGCUGCACCACGGUCGUCUGUACAUCCCGCCAGGGCCACUACGGCUGGAGGUUCUCCGGAUGGCCCAUGAUGCCCCAGCAGCGGGGCACUUUGGACGGUAUCGGACCACCCAUCUGGUCAGUCGAGAGUUUUGGUGGCCCCGCCUGAAGGCUGACGUGGCUCGCUACGUUGCUGGUUGUGAUGUCUGCCGGCGCGCCAAGGGACCUACCGGGCGACCCCCCGGCCUACUUCAGCCAUUGCCAGUUCCACCGCGCCCCUGGCACACGGUUUCGUUGGACUUUGUAGUGGACUUACCCUCGUCUCGUGGCUGUACCUGCCUUCUGGUUUUCUCCGACCAUUUCACCAAGAUGGUGCACUGCGCUCCCUGUCCAACUGUACCCACAGCCAAGGAAACUGCUCAGCUGUACCUUCAGCAUGUCUUCCGCCUGCAUGGACUACCUGAGCGCGUGGUGUCCGACCGGGGCGUUCAGUUCACAUCCCGGUUCUGGCGAGCAUUACACCAGACCCUCGGGACAGAGGUCUGCCUCUCGUCAGCCUACCACCCACAGACCGAUGGCCAGACGGAACGGGCGAACGCGGUGCUGGAGCAGUACCUCCGGUGUUACUGCAGCUACCAGCAGGAUGACUGGGUCGACCACCUGGCAUUGGCGGAGUUCGCCUAUAACAACGCGGUGAAUGCGUCCACCCAGCAGACCCCGUUCCAGGCCAGUUAUGGUUAUCAUCCACGGCUGUUUCCAGAGGUGCUGCCGGCAUCCGCGGUCCCGGCGGUGACGGAGUGGCUUCAAGAGCUCCAGUCCCAGCAACAGCUUUUGGUGGAGCAACUGCACCAGGCCAAGGAAGCGUACAAAGCCCAGGCCGACCGCCACCGCCAGGUGGGGCCGGAACUCGCGUCGGUGACCUGGUUUGGCUCUCCACUCGCCACCUCCACCCCUCUCGACCUUCGCGGAAGUUGGACGCCCGCUUCACCGGCCCGUUCCCUAUCGUAGACCAAAUCUCUCCUGUGGCAUUCCGUCUCCGGUUACCCGCAACCCUGAAGGUUCACCCGGUCUUCCACAGGUCCCUUUUGAGUCCGGUGGCCCCACCCGACGAGUUCCACCCGGACCGUCCCCGACCGCAGCCAGUGUUGGUUCGGGGAGAGCCUGAGUACGAGGUGGAACGCAUCCUGGACUCCCGAUACCGCAGGGGAAAGCUGCAGUAUCUCAUUGACUGGAAGGGGUACGGACCGGAGGACCGUUCCUGGGAACCAGCGGCCAAUGUCCACGCACCUGCCUGCCUCCGAGAGUUCCAUGCGACGUACCCCGGCAAGCCGGGUCCGGACCCUCGGUUGAGGGGGGGGCCUGGGAGGGGGGAUGGUGUGAUGGCCUGGGAUUCCGAUUCGGAGGAUGAAACAGAGGAAUCCCAGCCUGCACAGGAGUCCCCGCCUCCAGGGCCGGCUGAACUGGGGCAAGGCCUAGAUGCUGAAGAGCCUGCACCUGUGGCAGUGCAUCAGGAGCUGGCCCCAGGUGAAGCCCUUCUGGCCCCAGAGGGGCUUGAUGACUCAGUGGCCACAGGUGAGCCUCCUCCAGGGCCCAGUAACCCUUCGGCCUCUCCUGAUCUGCAGAGGCUUAGGGCAGAGAGGCGAAGGGAACUGGUUGCCCCCAGGAGGAGUGCUCGCCUUAAGGCCAGAGGAGGCGGGGCUCCUGGGGACCGGGACCGCCCCUGGCCUUAGAAGAGGAUAAAAGCCCAGUCAGCCCGGCCCCAGGUUGCGGGAGCAACGUCGUUGUUGGCUUCGGACCUUCCUGUGCUCCUGUUCCCUGCUCGGCUUCCUGUUCCUGACUAUCCGGUACUCCUGUUCCCUGCUCGGCUUCCUGUUCCUGACUAUCCGGUACUCCUGUUCCCUGCUCGGCCUCCUGUUCCCGACCAUCCGGUGUUCCUGUUUCCUGCACAGCCUCCUGUUCCAGCAUUCCUGUUCCCCGCCCGGCUCUCUGCCUCGGACCUUGCCCCUCUUCGUGUGGACUCUGCUACACCCAAGGUACCUUACCCCGGGACCAGCACA